AAUCGCCACAGAUCCCAGACUCCAGAUGCUUGCUUUUCUUUGCUGAUAACCUUGUAGUUAUUGAUCGCCAAAUAUACAUACUGUCUGUAGACGAAGCAUGCAGACCUUUGACACCAUGGUUGGAUGAUACAGAACAGAAGCUUCUCAACUUAAAAGCUUCUGCUACAGGGGAGGGAAAGAAGCCAACUUUAAAGACGGUGAAAGUUAUGAAUUGUGUCUGACAACUCAGAUGAGAAAGAGAAUUGGGGACUUUACCUUCAUUUAAGAGAAAAGAAUCCAGCACCAUAUGCUGCCCAGCUCAAUUUUUCAGAUGAAGACCUAUCUAUCUGCUGUUCCCCAGAGCGUUUCUUACAAUUGGAUAGAAAUGGUGUACUUGAAGCAAAGCCCAUUAAGGGUACUGUAGCUCAUGGUGCCACACCAGAGGAAGAUGAACAACGUAAACUACAGCUGCAGUAUAGUGAAAAGGAUCAAGCUGAAAAUCUGAUGAUAGUUGAUCUUCUAAUAUGUUUCUUAUAAUCUCAUCAUUCUUUUACUUGGUAGCAAAAAAGACUCGAGCUGUGAGACUUUUGGCUGCUUCCUCAAUUCCAUUGAUUCUUCGUAUUUACCUUAACUUGCCCUCCCAGAUGGUCUAUGUUUCAAGCUCUUUUAUGAAAGUUAAUUAGAUGGUGGUAAUGAAUCUGAGCUCUCAAGGAUUAUAAGAGUUGCUACAAAGUCAGAAUCAGAAGGCUGCUGUAGGCAUUCAGCAUGCUUGCUGGUAUAGUUUGACGUACAAAAUCAAAGAUUAUAAGCCGUUAGCGAGCCUCUAGUCCUAAGGGUU